CUGCCCCUGUCACUCUCUGCAAUGAGAGCCUGCCUACGCAGCCGGCGAGAGGGCCUGAGGCUGCCGCUCCGAGCCUGCAGGCCGCUCCUGUGAGCUCUCGGGGCUGCCGGGGCGGUAAGAGGCUCAAUAGCGGUGACUCAGUGAUGUGGAGAAGAGGAUGUGGCGGAGAGCAAGUCAUGGUGGUUACUUGCUUUGAUCUGCCACCUGGCUCAGAAGCCGUGCGAGCUGCACGUAAUCGCUCCCCUUUGUGCAGUUUGAAGACAGGCUCGAACAGCAACACUCGCCCUUCUCGUUGCAGGGAUGGGCAUGCCAAGGAUUAAUAUCCACUGAAUCCACUAGUGUAUUACCGUGAUGAUCUGAACCCCUCGUUGAUCUCCAGCUCCCUGUUAAUUGAGAUGAGGUCUCUUGUCCCCCAGUGUCUAUUAAUUAUAGCAGUCUCCUUUUGUAUAGCAGUCUCACCCCUUAAUUUUCCCCACCCCUUUGGUCUCUGGGCAUAGGGUACUGCAAUACCUAUCUGUUUCCCCAGGCUUUUGAGAAGGGCGUGAGUUCCUGACUCACCUCCUGACAGGGCCAGAUUCUGGCUUUUCCUGUUGAGUGUGGAAGAGGAAGAGGUAAAUUACAAGGAGAUUUGCUUCAUUACCACAUCUCUAGAGGAAUUGUGGAGAUAUCAACAAGAGUCCCAUUGUUUAUACUCCCUGCUCACAAGCAAAGAGAUUUUCAACUGACAGGAACAUAGGAAUUGCUAUGUUGGAACAGGCCAGUGGUCUAUCUUAUCGACUAUCCUGUCUCUGACAGUGACCUGCAAAAGCUACUUCUGAGGACUGUGCUGCAGUAGACAGUUAUGAGAAAACCUGUCCUCAGGGAAAGUUUCCUUCUGAUUCCCAACAGGUAUAUGUUGACCUAAGCCCUAAAGCAUUAGGGUUUAUAUCCCCUCCAAAGUUCAUUUGUUUUUAAUAAUUACUAUUAUAACUUUGGCUAUUCUUGUUAUCCAUGAAAAUGUCUACUCCUUUUUUGAAUCCUGGGAAGCACAUGGCCUCAACAGUAUAUUGUGGCAAUGAGUUUCACAGUCAAAUUUGCAUUGUGUGAAAAACUACUGCCUUUUAUCAGUUUUGAGUAUUCUAGAUUUCAAUGUAAUUGACUCUCUCUCCCCUUGCUCUUUGUUUUAUGAAAAGGGAUGAAUAGAAGUUCCUCUUUUACCUUCUGUAUACUAUCUAGGACAUUUUGCAUAACCUUUUAUUUGUUUCCUGUCUAAGAUGAACAGUCUCAGGGUAUAUGAACACUAAGGAUCCUGUCUACAUAGUUAGGCUGGAAUAGCCCCUUAAGUGUAGAUGCUGCCUACACCUACAGGAGUUUUUCUGUUGAUGUAGGAAUACCACUGCUCUGAAUGACAUUAUCUACAUUGACAUAAACAUUCUUCAGUUGACGUACAGUAGAACCUCAGUUACAAAUUGACCGGUCAACCACACACAUCAUUUGGAACAUGAAGUUCGCAAUCAGGCAGCAGCUGAGACAAAACAAGAAAAGCAAAUACAGUACAGUGCUGUGUUAAAUCUAAACUACUAAAAAAAUCAAGG